rnacentral:lncRNA from 1 species
AACUGGAGUGUGGACAAGAGAACUGUAUUUGUAGGGUCGAUGUGUAAGCAUCAGGAGAACUGCAUCCCAGAUGACCUCCUAGUACACUUGGAAGUCGUAAGUCAUAAAGAAGAACCACCAGUUAUUUGGGAAGUUGAAGAAGCAUGAUCCAAUUUCAAAAUUAAAGAACAUGGUGCAUAUGUAGAUUCACAAUCACAAACAAAAUGCAAGCUUUGCAGCUCAAACCACUUUCCUUAUGUGCCAGGACUAUUGCCACUUCCACAGACAUGCACUGCAAGAAGCUAAAACUGUUACACAUAGGUGGAACAAGUAAAUUAUUUGAGAAAGGGAAGUAAACUGGAACAGACACACAAAUAUAGAAAUGUAAUCAGGCCAAUAGGUUACUACCUACAUAACCAAAAAAUAGGUUACUGCCGAUUUUAUGGAGCACAAGAGCGGCAACAUGUAGACUGGACUUGUGAUAAACUAUCUUACUCUAUAAGGAUUUACAUCUACUCCCUCCGUUCCUAAAUAUAAGUCUUUUUAGAGAUUUCAUUAGGGAACUACAUACAAAACAAAAUUAGUGAAUCUACACUCUAAAGUAUGUCUAGAUACAUCCGUAUGUAGUCCUCUAGUGAAACCUCUAAAAAGAC